rnacentral:tRNA from 1 species
AACAAAAAAGAAAUCAGGGGCAUUCCGAGAAUUGAACUGGGGACCUCUCGCACCCUAAGCAAGAAUCAUACCACUAGACCAAAUGCCCUUCGAUGUUCUGUUUUCCGAAAGUAA